AGAGCUAUUAUUGAAAAAAAUUAGAAGUUUUUAGAAUUAGGACUAAGUUGAUGGUUCAUGUAGAAUCUACCAUGGAACAUUCUACAAGGACUUAAAGAGAUCAUCUUAGUAGGAUCCACCAUUAAGAACAUUUCCAAAAGUUCGAAGAUAAUUGAAUAAUGUAUAAAUAAAAUUCGCUAAGGCCAUUUAAAAAUUUGAUCAAAUAUAGUUUUGGUCCCUUUCACUCACUAAAGUUUGGUUUAUAUUUUUUAUUGUAUUCGAUUUUAUUUUAUUUUAUCUUUUGCUUUGUUUUUCCUUUCAUAUUCUAUUUUGUUUAAUUUUUUUUUAAUUUUUUAUUAAUUUGCUCUAUCCUACU
rnacentral:lncRNA from 1 species